GUGUGUUCUUCUGUGGAUUGAGACACCAUCAACAAAGAAACCUCCUCCGUCUUAUUUACUUCUGUAAAAUUAGAGUUUUCUCCACGUACAUUUUUCAAAGUUGUACGACAUUCAAAAUGAUAAUGGCCAUACAUGUGACACCUAUGACACUCAAUGUGGGACUUAUCUGCAGACCUUGGCUUCCCAUUUGACGAGUGUUGUUGAUCAUAACCAUGUUGAUCAUUCUGUUUGUGAGUUCUUUCUUCAGCUUUGUCUGAGUUUCUUCCCUUCCACUUGUUCCUUCGACACAUAGAAUCUUUGGAGGUUGUGACAGGUUUCUUCCCUUCCACUUGUUCCUUCGACACAUAGAAUCUUUGGAGGUUAUGACUGCUUUGCAAGGGUUGCUCCUCCGUAUCUUGCUUAACAAUUUUAUGCUCAUGAACCAUCAAAGAAUUUUGUAGUUCAUCAAGUGAAAGAGUAUCAAGAUCUUUCGAUUCUUCAAUGGAGCAGAUAACAAAAUUAAAUUUAGGCAACAUGGACCGCAUGAUCUUCUCGACGAUGGUAAGAUCUGCAAGCCUCUCUCCAUGAAUUCACAUCUUGUUUGUAAUUGCCAUUGUGUGUGAGAAGUACAACAACACCGACUUUCCCGAUUUCAUACACAGGGUUUCAAACUCACCGCGUAGAGUUUGAAAUUGUGCUCACUUUGCCCUUGCAUUCCCUUUGUAUUUCUUCUUCAUAGAGUCCCGGAUUUGCUUUGGCGUAUCCUUGCAAAGAAUUGUUUCCAAAUCGAACGAUCAAUGGCUUGGAAGAGAUAGUUCUUUGCCUUCAAGUCUCUCAACUUUUGUGCUUCAUCUGUCUUUUGAGCAUUUGUUAGAACAUUUGCUCCAGGUUCUUGAAUCUCACCAUCAACGACUGCCCAAAACUCUUUGGACCUCAAAAAGUUUUCCAUUAGCAUGCUCUGGUGGUCAUAAUGGCCAUCAAAACGAGGAAUAACUGCUUGCACAAAGUUGUUCUCUGAAGUCAUAGAUGAACAAAGUUCUGGGUAAACUCUCUAGCUAUUGAUACAACUGUUAGAAAUUUGGAAGAAAACUAGAC
rnacentral:lncRNA from 1 species